AGCUUUGUGCAGUGGCAGUAUCGCAGCCAAUGAGGUUUAUCCAAGGUUCGAUUAUUGCUAACUGAAAUA
rnacentral:snRNA from 1 species